AUCUGAAAAUUUAGAGUAAAAAAAAAAACUGACGGGAGAGAGAAGGGAGAAAGAGGAAGAAGAAGAAGAAGAGAAAAGAGGGGAAAAUAAGGGAAAAAGGAAAGGAGUUGGAGGAAAUAAAUAAAAAGGGAUAAUCCUGAUAUUCUACCGGCGGGACGUCAGUAGGAUUUUUCUUCGAUAUCAGCUUUGAGUUUUAUUGCUUUCAAGUCAGGCUUAUAGCUUGAUAGCAGGUCAUUUUGUUGGACCUUCAGAACCUGCUCUUUUGGUA